CUUUUUAAAGGAGGAGGAGGAGGAACAAAGAAACACAAAGAGAGAACAAACAACAGCAGGCCUGCUGGUCCUUACGAGGCUGUUUGUGAUAAGCUACACUAACUAUCUAAUCAAAGGUGAAAGAUGAAGGACAGCAAAGGCGAAGGCCGUGGUGAGCAAAUCAGGGAAGUAAAGUAACGGAACAGGCCUUCCUGGCGAGCGUCGCAGGGCUCAGGGCUCCGGCAGGGCGCCUCAGCUCCCCCGGAGCGUCCACGGAGGUGUCGGAGAUCCAGAGGGUCCGGGGGCUGGGGGGGCUUGAAGUGGCAGCAAGACAUGCAGUUACUGACCUCUUAUUAGCCAGACGACGCGUUAAUGACACGUUCCAAUGGAAGGUUCGACGCAUGGGGAGGUACAAUUCCCCUAAGCAAGGCAAGUGUCAUGCCAACUACGAUAAAAAACGAAAAAUCCAAAAAAAAAUACAUAAACAAAAAAUCCAAAAAAAAUUUGUCUUGUUUUGCUUUGUUUAAAGCGUCUUGUAUGUUGGUAUGGCGGGUCUUCUCUGGGGAGAAGGAGACUAACGCGUUCCAACAUACAAAACCAGGAAAAGACGACAUGGAAACACCGAGAGAAGGAAGGGGAAGAAGGGAACACCAGAAGAAGGAAAAUGAAGAGAAGUAACACAAGAAGAAGGCAUAUGAAGUAACACAAGAAGAAGGAAGUUGAAAAGAGUAACACAAGAAAAAGGAAUUUGAAAAGAGUAACACAAGAAGAGGGAAUUUGAAAAGAGUUCCACAAGAAAAAGGAAUUUGAAAAGAGUUACACAGAAGAAGGUAUUGAAAAGAGUAACACAGAAGAAGGUAUUGAAAAGAGUAACACAGAAGAAGGUAUUGAAAAGAGUAACACAGAAGAAGGUAUUGAAAAGAGUAACACAGAAGAAGGUAUUGAAAAGAGUUACACAGAAGAAGGUAUUGAAAAGAGUAACACAGAAGAAGGUAUUGAAAAGAGUUACACAGAAGAAGGAAUUUGAAAAGAGUAACACAAGAAGAAGGAAUUUGAAGAUAAAUAACACAAGAAGAAGAAAUGUGAAGUAACACCGGAAGGAAAAUACAGAGAAGUAACACGAGAAAAAUGAAAAUGGAAAUGAAAAGAAUCAUCCACCUUUCGGCCCAAACCAACAUCACAAAAUUAUGGGCGAGUCUCUUCUGGGAGGAAAGAGGCUCGUUCAGACCCAGGAACACCAGAAAGGAUGAUAGAAACAUCAAGAAAAGGAAAACAGAAAAGUCAUCCACCUUUCGGCCCCUGGGGCCGCAGGGUGGGUGACGGGUGAAUCUCCUCUGGGGAGAAGGAGGCUAACCCACACAGUCAAGAUAGAGGAUAGAGAAAGGAAAUUAAAUCAUCGAGAAAAGAAAAUGAAAUUACAAUAUCAAGAAAAUAACUAAAAAGUCAUCGAGCUUUCGGCCCCUGGGGCCGCAGGGCGGGUGACGGGUGAGUCUUCUGGGGAGGAGGAGGCUCAUCCACAGCCAGCAACACCAACACAAAGAAGAGAA